AAGUUGAUAUUUAUGUCAUUUGUCGAAUGGUUUGUUUUAGCCUGAGCUAUGUGUUAUUGCACAUACAUAGCUUCUUGUUAAAACAUACCAAUCGGUUAAAUGAACCUUUUUGA
rnacentral:pre_miRNA from 14 species